CCACAACUGGCCCAUUUCCAUCAUAAAUGCACGGGACACGUCAUCAUUACCACGCUGUAACCCUAGCCUUCCUCGAAGCUUCUCGUCCUUCCCUGAAGAUUCUCGUCCUCCUCCUCGUCGCCCCCAGGGAUCGGGACCCGUCGGUGUGCCGCCUCAGUGUGGAGCUCGAGGUCCUAGCGGGAUCCCUCGCCGUCGACCCGCCUGCCAACCCAGCCACCGCCCAGAUCUCGCCGCCGAUCCAUAUAGUCCAGAUCUGGCAGUUGGCGGAAUCCAUAUAGCCCAGAUCUGCCACUCUUCUCACUGGAUCCAUGAACAGAUAUAUUAGUGAAAUCACGCCACAAGUGUGCUCUUGGAGACGUAGAAGACGACGCCAGGCCGACGGCGAGGGAGGGAAUGCCCGGUCGGCGAUGGGGUAAGGAAGUUCGGCGUCACCGCCGUCCCCUCUGCCCCCUUCUUCCACUCCACGAUCCGUGCAUCACUGCCAUGCACCGCUGUCUCCUCAGCUUCCUCUCGCGUCGCCACUGCCGUCACCGCCGCGCCGCACCCACCGCGUCGAGGGACACCACCGCAUCUUAGCUCCGGCAGCUCGCGUUGAGCUACUUCGAGGAGUUUCUGGACUGCGCCGCCGUCGCCGCCAUGGCAAGGGGUUAGUUUGCUUCAAUGGUGCUGGUGCCACCUCUUGUUGGUGCUCUAUUCGAUCGGCAGAUGUGCUACAAGCACACGCCCAAGACCUGCCGGAACUUCGUCGAGCUGGCACGCUGCGGUUACUACGACAACGUCAUCUUUCACCGGAUCAUCAAGGAUUUCAUCGUGCAAGGUGGGGAUCCUACUGGAACCGGCAGAGGUGGCGAGUCCAUCUAUGGAGCAAAGUUUGAGGAUGAAAUAAAGCCAGAGUUGAAGCACACUGGGGCUGGAAUUCUGUCCAUGGCAAACGCUGGUCCAAAUACUAAUGGAAGCCAGUUCUUCAUAACUCUUGCACCUUGUCAGUCACUUGAUGGAAAGCAUACAAUUUUUGGGAGGGUAUGCAGAGGAAUGGAAAUUGUUAAGUGCCUUGGAAGUGUGCAGACCGACAAAAAUGAUAGGCAAUAUUUCAACUAUAUCCUAUAGUUGUACAUAUCGCACCGUAUAUCUUGCAUCUGAUUUCUCAUCAACGAAGGGUUUAAUUGUAUGGCAAUGGCUUUGCAGCGUAUAGCUUACAUUAGGAGUUUCUAUACAUGUAAUUGCAUGGCAAUGGCUUUGCAGCUUCGAUGGUGCUGGCGCCACCUCUUGUUGGUAAGUGACUGGUGGCAGGCCGGAGUGUGAGAAGGAAUUUGAGGUGAUAAUUCUUGUCAAUUGCUGCCACUGAUGACUAGGUGUUCUUGUGUUCUUGUCCUAAUUAUUUUGGUUGGUGUAAUCUGCAGAAUGAGCUGGACUUCCAUUCUUUUUUUCCUCAUGUACAUGAUAGUGUCCUGCAUGCAAAGAUGUAUGCUUAUAAAGAUUUACAAACAUAAUAGCUCUCUUUUGGGUUUUUAGUACGCUGCGUUGGUUCUUCCCAGGACUGCUGCUUGUUCGUUUCUUUAUUGGCAAUAAUAAUCAAGAUGCUGCAAAUUGAAUAUCUUAGUCUUUGGUAUGUAUUAAUGGCUUAAUUCAGUGAAGCGAGAAUUGCUACUUUGUAUGGUUUCCCUCUUCAAUCUUUGGAAGCCUCCAUCUUCCUUACUUGACUGAGUAUGUAUUCAUCAUUCAGUUCGAGCUUAUUUAGAAUUUUCUUUGAUCUUUUGUACGUCGAUAUAGAAACCCUUCUCGCCCAGUGUAUAUGAAAAAUGUUACAUUGUCAAUUAAUGUUAUUCAUUGAUUUCUAUCCAAGGUUGAUUCAAUCAUAAUUGUUUAUGGAAGUUCUACAUCUAAAUUUUCAAAUGUUGUGGGGCUCGUUAAGCCAAUGACGACAAAUAUUGUAGUAUGAAAAUAUUCGGCUUCCGUUGCAACGUAUAGUGCUGGCGGGGAACGAAAGGAGGCGAUCCUAAAUCUAGUUACCUUCGCUGCCGGUGGCGGCAUCUUCGGCUCCUAGCAACUUCGCCGGGAGGGUUUGGAGCAGCCGCGCCGUUGCUUCUUGCAAUCUUUGCGUAGUUAAAGUCGGGAGGGUUUUUCUGAGACGAUGCGGCCGAUGCUGUGCCAGCUUUUUUGACCGUUCGUUUAUGUGGAAAAAUGGUCAGCCAGGCCAUGUCCUACUAGGGCAGCUCUCUUUUAUAUCCUUUAUUUCCUUUCAAUUCUAUAUAAUUUAUUUCUUGUGA